rnacentral:lncRNA from 8 species
AGAGUUUCAAACCUGUCUGCCAAUAACAGUUAGUUUUCAGUUUUCUCUCACUCACUCUGGAGGAGAUGGCCUCCUUUUGCGGUCACUGGCGGUUAGCUGCUGGCCUCACUUCACGCUAAUGCUCAGCCAUCUGUUCAGGAUCCAACGGGCCGAGGCUGGAUGAGAUCUCUCUGAUGGUGGAGAGGGAGUUCCAGACUUUGACGUCACAGACAGAGAAAGAUCGACAUGACCUCUCCGUCUCCUCUCAGCGCCCUGACGAUGUCCGGUGUGACGACUGUUCCCAUGGCGAUGACCCCAUAUGGGAGACACAGGUGGAGAAGAAGAAGGAGGAGGAAAAGGUGAACCCAGAGGAGGAGCAAAGGAGGGACAUUGCCAAGUACCUCAGGGGCCUCCUGAUCCCAGGGCAGGAGGGUAGAGGGGAGGACAGUUCCAUCAUGGUGGAACCUCUCCAUAUUCCUAACCCUUACCUGUUGGACUCCAUCCUGCUGAACCCUGACCUCGGUGCUAACCUCUCCCAUUUAGUUCCUGACUUGCUCCCUGAUCUCUCAUCCCUGCUCCCCAACCUGGCCCCCAACCUGGCCCCCAGCCUGCUCCCCAACCUGGCCCCCGACCUGGCCCCCGACCUGGCCCCCGACCUGGCCCCCGACCUGGCCCCCAGCCUGGCCCCCAGCCUGGCCCCCAACCUGCUCCCCAACCUGCUCCCCAACCUGGCCCCCAACCUGGCCCCCAGCGAAGACGACUUUCCCCCUCUGCCGAACGCCGCGUCUCCAUGGCAAGGUGACAGGCUGUGGCAGGGCUCUCCGCCUGCCAACCUCCCCAAGCCUCUCAUCCCCAUCCCUGGCCCCUUCAACCUUCUGGGCAAAGUACCUGCCUGUAUCAAGGCCUCAGCUUCAGGUCCAGCCUCAACUCCUGUCCCAGUCCCAACUCCAGCCAAGGUCCCAGUCAUCCAGGUCACAGCCACAGCCCGUUCUUCAACUCCAGCCCCAGCCAAGGUCCCAGCCAUCAGGAUUACAGACCAAACCAAGGCCCUAGCUUCAUCUCCAUCAACAACCCAACAGGAGCUUUAUGACCUGAUGGCUGACUUCCCAGCCCUCCAGCCCCAGGGGAAAGCACCUCCACUGGGCUUACAGCAGCCUGCCAAUGCCCCGUGCCGGGCUCCAACCAUCAAUGUGGAGCUACUUCUCCAGGACCUGCCCUACAGCGCCUUGUUCAAGGCCCAGGAAGGUGACCGGGAGCUGGGCAGACAGGAUGGUAAAAGAGGGGUCAAGGGACCCAAGAAGAUAGAGUCAGAACCUGAGGAGCAACCUCGGGACAUUCCCAUUGUUACUGAUGAUGUUGACCAGUGGCCUGAGAUCAUCACUACCAAGCAGCCUGUAUUCACCCAAGCAACUCAACAGGUUAUAGCAGAUGGUGCCAGCGCGUGGGUUGGCAGUGCCAACGACAGAGUGAGGAGAGCAGCUGCCCCCCUCCUCCAGAAAGCCAGGCCCCUCCGCAGCCCCCAGGAGGGUCCAGAGAGGAGGCAGACGACACCCCCCGUGGUCCUUACCGCCCCCGCUGCAGCCCCCACCAUUGCCGACAUUGCUGCAGCUUUCGCCACCAGCACUGCCGCCAAUGACCUGCCUCAGGAGAGCAAAGCCGCCCCCCACCAGCAGGCCCGUUCCCCUUCCCUCCCGGACAUCCCACCAACCAACCAAUGGGGAUCUCAUCGUUAUGCUGGGUUCCGCCCUCAGAAUGCCCAUCGGCCUGGCUUCACCUGCCCACCCCAGCACCGCCAGGAUUCACCCGGGCCGACCGAGGCCCCAAACGGAACAUCUUCUAACCCAACGAGACGGCGGCCAUUUUAAAUGAUUCGUCUUCGAUUUUGGUUUAUGUUUCUUUUUUUUUUUAAUAUUAUUGUUUAAUUAGUACAUUAAUUAGUUUGCCUCUGUUUUUUAGCUUUGUAAUAAAUACAUACUUUCCUUUUUGUUGGUGUUCUUACUUUAGAUUGGAGCGAAUAAUGUUAUAAUAUAAAUUCAACCAUCUCUAUUUUAACUUUGUAAUGAAUGUUUUUUUAAAUGUUUAUUUUUAUACAGCUUGAUAUGAUGAAAAAGCAGCUCAGAUAUAGAACAUGUACAAAUGGACCGUAACCAUUGGGUUCUACCGCGCUGAUAUACCGUGCAUUAUAGGGAAAUGACGCACGCUCUAGAAUGCCCCUCAGGCCAAUCACGGUCAAAUGAAGUAAUAAGGCCCAAGAGGGUGUGGUAUAUGACCAAUUUACCACGACUGUGGGCCGUUCUUGUGCACGACGCAACGCAGAGUACAGCACGGGCUACAUCCCUUAGCCUUGCUAUAUUAGCCGUAUACCCCAAAAUCCCCGUCGUGCCGUAUUUUAUAUUGUAAACUGGUUACCAACAUCUUUAGAGGAGUAAAAAUAAAUGUUUUGUCAUACCUGUGGUAUACCACGUCUGUCAGCCAAUCAGCAUUCAGGCCUCGAUCCACCCCAGGUUUAUAUGAAUAAAUAAUGCAUUUCAAAUCAUUGCAUUUUUCCUCCGUUCUGGGCUACAAUGCAUAUUUCAUCAGGCCAGUGAAAUAUUAAGCACACUUACAAUUUUAUAUUCUCUCACUUCCAAAGGGGGUAUUACUUUGUUGUAUUUCAACAAUAUCACACUUCACACAGACUGUUGUUUUGUUGAUUCAGACUGUUGUUUUGUUGAUUCAGACUGUUGUUUUGUUGAUUCAGACUGUUGUUUUGUUGAUUCAGACUGUUGUUUUGUUGAUUCAGACUGUUGUUUUGUUGAUUCAGACUGUUGUUGAUUCAGACUUGUUUUGUUGAUUCAGACUUGUUUUGUUGAUUCAGACUGUUGUUUUGUUGAUUCAGACUGUUGUUUUGUUGAUUCAGACUGUUGUUUUGUUGAUUCAGACUGUUGUUUUGUUGAUUCAGACUGUUGUUUUGUUGAUUCAGACUGUUGUUGAUUCAGACUGUUGUUGAUUC